rnacentral:lncRNA from 1 species
CCUUUCCAGCAGUUGAUGAACUUUAUACUUUGAUGGUGACGGAAAUAAAACAUGAACUAUGUAUAUCGAACUAUUUAACUGGUGAUUCAAAUGAACUAUGUGUAAAUAUAUCCAGCUAUUGGACUUGGUGAAUGUAAUGAACUUAUUAUAAACUUUAGAUGUGUGGUGAUGGUUACCGGAAACUUUGCAAUGAACUAUCACAAUAACCUACAGGAAGAAAAACUACCGUAUUUUAUUGAACUUUCGUUUUAUUUAGGAGGAAAGGAAAAUGUAACACAAUUGUGUUUCAUAUCAUUAAUUAUGAAGGAGUAUUAAUUAGGAAAUUUAUUAAAAAGGAAUUAAAUAA